rnacentral:lncRNA from 1 species
CUUGCAAGACCACCGCUGUUGUGGCAUCCAUGUUGAUAUUGAUGCUCCUUGUGUCUUUCGGUAAGUAGGAUAAUAUAGUAUUUCAUACGUAUGUAGUUUUUGGCAUGCAUGAUGUGGAGAGAGCAUCGUCACAAGGAGACAAUUUUACUCCUCACAACAAUCUCCAACUACUAAUUAUUGGGAUGGAUAUUGAACAUUUCCUAUCUUCUACAAUUAACGCCAAGGCUAAGUAGUAAACUCUUCCAAUCUUCUAAGACUAAUGUCAAGGAUAGGAACCCAAUAUUUUAAAUCUUUAACAAUUAGUGCCACAAAAGGCUUGAUACUGAACUCAACUUUAUUGUCGGGUGACCUUAGUUUGACGAUAUAGAUGAAGACUCUCAUAAGUGUGCACCUUCCAAUAUAAAGACAUGCCAAGAUUAGGUCACACCCCAUCCAAGUGUUCUCAAUGGCUUGCAAGACCCCCAUCGUUGUGGCAUCCAUGUUGAUAUUGAUGCUCCUUGUGUCUUUUGGUAAGUAGGAGAAUAUACCAUUUCAUACAUAUGUAGGGAGUUUAUGUUUUUCCAUCACGUAUUAAACCUUUAUUUCUAUAAGGAUGUAGGGAUUUUGCAUCGUAACAAAAUUUCUUUCAUUUAUGUAGACGAGGUUCAAGGGAAGUGUCGCGAGGAACGCAUCAAGCUCUCCUGUGAUAAUUGGGUCAAAUGUUUUGAGUGGUGUCGUCUCUUUGGUGGUACGAAAGGGUACUGUGAUAAAGGUUCAUGUGUGUGUGUGAAUUGCUUUGUGCAAUCAUCUGGCCACCAUUCUACAGAGGUUCCACCACCGAAUUCUGCCCAUCUUGAGUAGUUCAUUGUAAUUGUCGAAUUAUUGGUAAUUGGUUGUCCUAUAAAUAACUAAGUGCAUUGGUUAUGAUAUUCUUUUUAUGUAAUUUUCUAAUAUGACAUAGUAAGUUUUCCAAUGGAAAGGUACAAUAAUAUGUUUUCAGGGUCAUCGGAAAGUCCGGAUCUAUUUAUGGAAACUUUUCAGGGUCAUCGGAAUGGGUUCCAGAGACAUACGGAAAAUUCAAGAUUUUAUUUGUAGAAGAAAAGUGCGAAGAACCAUCAUGAGAUGACGAUCCCUAGUGGGCCCACGAGGGCCCACAAGGGGCGCAAUGGGCUUUGGUAGGCCCUAGGCCGAAUUGGAAGGGGAUGAAAUCCUUCCCUCUUCCAAGGAUUUCCCCUCUUUACCCUCCUCCUUCUCCUACUUAUAUAUAUGGGGGGAGGCCUCCCUCUUGAGACAAAUAAAAUUAAAGGGUGCUACUUCUUGAGCUUGCGUUGUUUUUUCCCAUGAAGAGGAAAGGGUGAUGCAACAAAGUAGAGAUAAG